ACCCCCUGGCAAUGGACAAAGAGACACCUUGUUGGUGGUGUUGUCCUUCUAUCAGUCAGGGGCAUAGCAGAUGGCAGUCCUUUGUUCGUCCUAGCUUGGUGCCUGGCUUGGUGGCCAAAGCUGUCUUAUGCCAAGGACUCAUAA